CUCUCUCACUUGCCACUCACCUGUGAGUUCAGCAUCUGUGAACUGGCUUUGCAACCUCCUGUGGUCUCUAAGGAAACCCUAGAGAUGUUCUCAGAUGACAUUGAGAAGAGGAAACGUCAGCGCCAAAAGAAGGCUCGGGAGGAACGCCGCCGAGAGCGCAGGAUUGAGAUAGAGGAGAACAAGAAACAGGGCAAGUACCCAGAAGUCCACAUUCCCCUCGAGAAUCUACAGCAGUUUCCUGCCUUCAAUUCUUAUACCUGCUCCUCUGAUUCUGCUUUGGGUCCCACCAGCACCGAGGGCCAUGGGGCCCUCUCCCUUUCUCCUCUCAGCAGAAGUCCAGGUUCCCAUGCAGACUUUCUGCUGACCCCUCUGUCACCCACUGCCAGUCAGGGCAGUCCCUCAUUCUGCGUUGGGAGUCUGGAAGAAGACUCUCCCUUCCCUUCCUUUGCCCAGGAAUUUUACUGGCCUGUGGUUGGAUCUGAAAGUUAAUGAUUAAGGAGCUAUUGGAAAAGCACACUAAAAGGUAGUGAGGGGCUGUUGAAGCGGUGUCAGGAGAGAGUUUAGUUAGUUUUCAUGGCUUUAGGUAACUGAAGUUUAGUAGCCGUGUGGUUUAAAACUGGAGGGUACUUGGCUGGGCACAGUGUCUCAUGCCUGUAAUCCCAGCACUUUGGGAGGCCAAGGCGGGUGGAUCACCUGAGGUCAGGAGUUCAAGACCAGCCUGACCAACAUGGAGAAACUCCAUCUUUACUAAAAAUACAAAAAUUAGCCAGGCGUGGUGGUGCAUGCCUAUAAUCCCAGCUACUCAGGAGGAUGAGGCAGGAGAAUCACUUGAAGCUGGGAGGCGGAGGUUGCGGUAAGCCAGGAUUUGCGCCAUUGCACUCCAGCCUGGGCAACAAGAGCAAAACUCCAUCUCAAACAAAACAG
rnacentral:sRNA from 1 species